GACAGAGGGUGCAAACGUUGUUCGGAAUUACUGGGCGUAAAGCGCGUGUAGGCUGCUCCGAAAGUCAGGUGUGAAAGCCCCGGGCUCAACCUGGGAAGUGCACUUGAAACCUCGGAGCUCGAAUGUCGGAGAGGGCAGCGGAAUUCUCGGGUGUAGAGGUGAAAUUCGUAGAUAUCGAGAGGAACACCUGUGGCGAAGGCGGCUGCCUGGACGACGAUUGACGCUGAGACGCGAAAGCGUGGGGAGCAAACAGG
rnacentral:rRNA from 1 species